rnacentral:lncRNA from 1 species
AAGCGGUGCCGGGGCCGGGGGGGUGUUUCGGGUUUUGUUUUGGAGCCGGGAAGCCGGGAAGCCGGGAGCGCCGCCAACGAGCAGACCCCGGCGGACGGGGGCAGAGUCGCGGUGCGGGUGAGAAUCCCGGUGCGGGGAGACCCCGUCCUGCCCUGCCUGCUGCCAUCCCCCCUCCGCCGCUCCUUGGAGAGUCGUGCCCGAAGCCCAACUUUCCAGCCCGCCCGCCGGCCCCAGCAUGAACCAGACGGCCGGGGUGAGCAACCACGUCCGCUGCUCCGGCAAGGGCUCCAAGGGGUGACCCCUUCGGGCUGCGAGCCGGGAGGGUGCUGGACCGGGCGCUCAGGGUGCUGUAGCCUCAUAGCUUCAAGUGCUGGAACGGUCGGAACUCGUGCACCUGCUUCAAACGGGAUAAAAUGCUUUGAAGGUUCCUUUCACAGUGCACUGCAGAGGGAAAAAGAAAAGAGAAGACAUGGAGAGAUUUUAUAUGCUAAGGAGGGUACUUCAGACAGAGGCAAUUAACUGGUGCUGUACAGCUCAUACAAGAAAAUCAGGAGAUGUGAACUGAAGAUCGCUUUGUAAAUGUGGUUAACAGGCGGAGCUUGAAAGCCUCCUGCAGCAGCAGUCUGGGCUGAGGUCACCAGGGUUUGAUCCUGGGUCCUAAGCAGCUUCUCUACUGCAACCCAAGACAAGAAUCUUGGUUACUUCUAUUCUCAGAUUGACAGAGAUGGGAUAAUUUUGCUCCAUGCUGGAUGAAAGCAGCCCAGAAAUCUCUUACAUAAAGGUUGUCUGUGAUUAUUCUUGAUUUUCUUUUUUUUUUUUAAUAUCUCGCAUAUGGAGUAAUGUACUUCACUCUUAAGAGAGAAGUAGUAAUAUGUUUAUGGAUAUAAACCAACAGUGUGAUAAAGUUUGAUUGUACAAAAUUCAGUGGCAAGGUACACUUGAUUAUUUACUGCAGAGAGGACAGAGUCAAAGAACUGUCAGGGAAACCCUCCUGUUGAGUCAUGAGAUUCAGAAGAGAAUGCCUUGCAUUCUAAACUCCUCCUUAGAGUGGGGUUUAGAUGCAACUAGAUCCAGACUUAGUCCCAGACUUGGGCAAUGGUUUAUGUCUAAAGGAUUAUAUGUGCCCAGCCAAUCCUUUAAAUCACUUAGCUAAGAUUUUGUAGUCUAAUUCCCAAUUCACUACCGAGUAUCUGAUGUGAUAAGGAUCCUCUUGGUCUCAAGGUGCAACCCUAACUGUGGUUCAAGUACUGAUAGAUAAUAAUCAGAGGACAUUG